GCAUGCAUUCAUUACUUGUGAUUACGGGCAGAAUAGCAUAGUUUUCCUAUUAUGUCAUUUACUGCUUUGGAUAUCUAUCUAUCUAUCUAGUUGUUACUUUUGCCCACUUGGACCUAGUGGGGAGAUCGGCGGAGUCGGCGGCCGAGCCCACUGGGAACUAUGGAAGAUAGUUCUCACCCCACUUCAUUACAGGGUCGAGUGCUGGCGCGCCGGGCGAGGAUCGCGGCAAGGGCAUCGCGCCCGAGCAGUAGUUACAUUUCUAGCUUUCCUAUGCAUUAGAGUACCCUUUUGUAUCUAGAUGCUUUAUAUUUUGGAAGAGCUAAGUAUGUAUUUGGAAAUGAUCAUGUAUUCAUUUUGGGAAAACAU
rnacentral:lncRNA from 1 species